GGUUAUGGCUCAGUGGUAGAGUGCUUUCCUCACAUGUGCAAGGCCCUGGGUUCGAUCCUCAGCACCA
rnacentral:tRNA from 1 species